AGUUAUUUUGUUGAGAGACAGUUAUCGCAUUGCAUGUAAGAUAAAAAAGAAGAUGUGGCAUUGCAUGAAGGAUGUGGUAAUCCAAGGAGAAGAAAAAGAUACAUUUGGCAUGUUAUGUGGCAUGAUGAUGCAUAGACCGGAUUCUAAGCAUUUGAUCGAAGAAUCUAAGAGUAGAGAUAUCGGUAUCUGUAAAAAAGAAAGUCUCAAUCGCCAAAAAGGAAUCUUCACCUUCUCCUGCUAAUAAUCCUUCUUCCACUGGUCUCCCAUUGGAUGAUGAGCAUGAGAACUCGGCAGUAACAAAAGCUUGAGCAUUAUUUCCUUUUAUUCAUUUGUUCUUUUGGGGGUUUAUAAGUCUGGAAAGCUUGAAAAUUUUCCAAUUUGAAAAAUUUUGGUGUUUCGGGAAUUCAACAAUUUGUGAGAUUGAGAGUCAGCGAGAAGAGAAGCUCCAAAUAGAUCUAAUGGCUUUUCCUCCGACUAGAUUAUCUUCAGAAAGGGAUGGUGAGAUUGAUUUUGGGCCUUCUGAUCUUAAACCAAUGGCCACAGAUAUGGAAUUGGAGAUGAAGGCUACCACAAUGGAAGAUGAAAGAGAGUGAAAAUCAGAAAGAAAGAUGUGAAUGUGGAAGCUGAGGAUAAUAAUAAGCCCAAACCGAUCGAUGAAGAAGCUAUAUGACAUAAACUAGUUGUAAAUAAACAAAGGAAUAAUGAUCUUCAGCUUGAUUUGGAGAAAUCUGAUAGAGAUAGUGGCACAAGUAGUGGUUGUGCGAACAAGCUCAAUCACCAUGUUCAAAAGUUGCAGCAUCAACAACCCAGUAUAGAGAAAACUGGUAAAAAUAAUCCUUUUUUUCCUUUUUCUGCUUGGGAAAAUUCCCUUGUCUCCAUGUGUUGCUGAUCUGGAGGUUUUUCUUUUUUUUUUUGCCUUCUACAGCACAAUCUGGUUCUUGACCUUUGCCGAUGUCAAAGGCUAGCUGGCCUGGUGGACUUCCUCCAAUAGGGUAUAGCUGGGUUGAUUUGAUAUUUGUUUUGUGGUUUUUUGGCAUUAGGAGAUCUAAACCAGUGAUUUAGAUGUUAUAAUUGGGGGAAAUGACUUUUUCUUUUCCUGAUCAGAUGCAUAGCGCCUCUACAAGGUAUUGUGUACAUGGAUGGUAACAUAGUAUCUUCUGUAGAUAUGCAGGCAUGUCGCUGUGUUCUUUAUAUUCACAAGUCUAGAUUUCUACUUCUUUUUUUUUUAUUAAUUUAUCUUGAAAUUUUGGACUUUUGCAGCCUCCACAGUUGCUUUUUACUCAACCAAGGCCAAAGAGAUGUGUGAAUUGUGUACAAGAUAAGGGGCAGAUGCCAGUGCACGGUUGAUAUCAAAUCAGUAGCCAAAUCACAAUGCCAGUUCUGCGCAUGCAUCCUCUUCUGAUGAUGAGGAAAAGAAUUCAACUUUGGCGGUUGUUGACAGGUCUACAAGGACCCCAUCUCAUCUGCAAAGACGAUCAGUAAUGGGGCCAGGGUAAGGGCUGGACAAGGGCAGCCGAGGAUGUCCAGGAUCAUUAGUGCAAUUGGUGGUGAGAGAGGUGCACAGGUGGUCGCUGGUUGGCCUUCUUGGCUAGCAGCUGUAUCUGGAGAAGCCAUCAAUGGGUGGAUACCUCAAAAGGUUGACUCAUUUGAAAGGUUGGAAAAGGUCACCAUAGCUGUAUCUUUCAUUAUUGAUUAUUGUGUUCUGUUCCAUUGCUAAUUGUAUUCAGUGGUUCAAAAACUUUUGUUUUUUCAUGUGUAUGCUUACUUUGAAAUUUAUAAUAUAUAUGGUACAUGCAGUUAAAAUGGCCUUAUGUUUCGUUGAUGUGCAUUUUCAUACACAUUAUUUCAUCCUGUGAGGGGUUGUAUCCCUUUGAUUUAUGUCAUAUUCCCUUUCCUCAUUCAUUAACUUGACUGUCCUGCUAAUUAUGUACAUAUUGGUCAAGGAACUUACAACAGUGUGUACAAAGCAUGUGACCUUGAAUCAAACAAGAUAGUUGCCUUGAAGAAAGUGCGAUUUGUUAAUAUGGACCCUGAAAGUGUUUGUUGCAUGGCAAGAAAAAUUAUUAUUUUGCGUAGGCUUGAUCACCCUAAUGUCAUGAAGCUUGAAGGUCUAAUUACUUCCAGGGUGUCUGGAAGUUUAUACCUUAUAUUUAAAUACAUGGAGCAUGAUCUUGCAAGGCUUGCAGCAAAACCUGGGGUUAAAUUCACUGCUCAGGUAUAUUCAUAUCUUCAAUAUAUUUGAUUAUAUCAUCAAUGUUGUUCAAAUGAGAAUAGAAUUGGUGAUUCUAUAAUCUUAUGGAAUUCAAAGGAGUAAUAUUCGUGGUGGAAGAACACAAUUUUAUAAGUCUGUUACAUCAUGAACUGUGACUGGAUCUUCAUUCGUUUUUGAUAGUACAUAUUUUGCACGAUAUUAAUCCAGGAAAACAAUCUUCAACAACUUCUGCAUGAAAAAAAAAAUCCAAUUUAUCCAAGGGUGUUCUUGGACCAAGCUAGGUCUCUAUGAUCUUCUUUUUUGAGUUUUUACAUUUCAUAAUUUGGUGUAGAAAUGCAAAUGAACUAUUGUUUUUGGGUGGUUCUUGAUGCAUUGGAUGCAACUAUUUGUUGAUUUUGGUAGAUGAAAAUAUAACAUGAUGUGUCUGAACAGUAGCAAUUAUGCUCAAUUAUGCUACUAUCUCUGUAGGUUUUGUUUCCUCUUAUGUAUGGUAGCUAAAAUUAUUACACUUUGCAGUCAAAGUGAGAAAGGCCAUAGUUGGUGCAAGAGCAGCAAACACUAUGCUCAGCAGUGUGCAAAUAUAUCCUAAGUUACAUCAUAGUCUUUUUUCUUUCUCAAACUUUACAACUAGACUGAAAGGAAUAUAAAUUAUGGUUGUUUAUGAUAAUUUGUGCAUCUGAAAUGCAGUUUAUAAUAUGAAAUUUAUGUUAUCACUUAUAAGUGGGAUUUCUUUUGCAGAUUGGGUAGCACUUCAAGGAUGGCUACUUGCAUAAAGAUGAAUUUAAAAUAGUUUAUGUUGCCCUGAUAAAGGUUGAACCCUCCAUAUAUUUUUCUAUCCCUUCCUUAGGAGGAUUGGUUGGUGAUUGACUACUUAUUUUUAAUUAUAUUUCCUAGACAUUAGAGUUUUGUUAGGAGGUUGGUGUCAAUUUGCAAUUGACAACAAUUUAAACCCAAGCAACCAUUGUAUUUUCAUGAAAAUUGGUCCAAAAAAAUUUUAAGUGAUUGCAUAUAAUGGUAAUUAGUAA